rnacentral:rRNA from 1 species
UACGUAGGGACCAAGCGUUGUUCGGAUUUACUGGGCGUAAAGGGCGCGUAGGCGGCCAAUUAAGUCAGCUGUGAAAUCUCCGAGCUUAACUCGGAACUGUCAGCUGAUACUGAUGUGCUAGAGUGCGGAAGGGGCAAUCGGAAUUCUUGGUGUAGCGGUGAAAUGCGUAGAUAUCAAGAGGAACACCUGAGGUGAAGACGGGUUGCUGGGCCGACACUGACGCUGAGUGCGCGAAAGCCAGGGGAGCAAACGGG